GCGGUAGCGAGAGAAAAGAGGGAAAAGCGGAGCGAGUUUUGAACGAAAUCUUCUCUUCUAUCUUUAUUUCGUUCAUAUCAAAAUUUAUUUAAUGCGAGAGGGAAUCGAAACUGACACGCACCGCUGCCGGACACGUGGCGUCCGACAGUCACAUGCGGGCGGGCGAGCCACGGAGGGACCUUAUUCUUCCUGCGCCCAACGUGAAUGGGCCGCCCCAUCGACGGGCCCCGUGGGUGGCACGUGUGGGCCAGGAGGUGAGGGGGUUGAGAUCCGACAAUUGU
rnacentral:lncRNA from 1 species